CCCAAAGCCCUUUUGCCCUAGCAUCAGAAACACUUUAGGGGUUUCAAAAUUUUCCCCUCAUUAUGCCAAGCACAUCUUCAUAUAUCUGGGGUCCCCUUCUCUAGAGACAAAUCUAGAGACACCCAUCUUCACCCAAUCCGAUCACCACCAACCACCGUCUGCGACCUUGUCAGCAACGAUGCCCAUUGCUGGAGCCGCCAAGUCGAGGUCGCCAUUCCUCCCGCAUCAGCCAUUGUGACGGACUCCCGCUCAGUCUAGGGCGUCACCAGCGACCCAGUGCCACCGGAGCCGCCGCCAGGUCUUUCCCUUUUCCUCUUCGCGCGCGAGAAGCUCUCACCCUCCUCUGUCGAACACCGCCUGAGCGAGCCCAGACGUCGCCU
rnacentral:lncRNA from 1 species